AGAGGUCCAGCCUGCCCAGUGACACCAGUUCAACGGCCGCGGUAUCCUGACCGUGCGAAGGUAGCGUAAUCACUUGUCUUCUAAAUUAAGACUAGUAUGAAGGGCACCACGAGAAUCAAACUGUCUCCUUUCUCUAAUCUGUGAAACUAAUCUCCCCGUGAAGAAGCGGGGAUUCUAAUAUAAGACGAGAAGACCCUGUGGAGCUUAAGACAAAAGUACUAUUGCCCCAAACAUCUUAGUAUUAAGUCUUAGGUUGGGGCGACCACGGAGUAAAAACUACCCUCCAUGCUGAACGGAACCUCCUUAAACAAGAGCCACAGCUCUAUGAAUCAACAAAUUGACACACUUGACCCAAUUAAUUGAUCAACGAAACAAGUUACCCCAGGGAUAACAGCGCAAUCCACUUCAAGAGCCCCUAUCAACAAGUGGGUUUACGACCUCGAUGUUGGAUCAGGGUAUCCCAGUGGUGCAGCCGCCACUAAAG
rnacentral:rRNA from 1 species